UACGUAGGGUGCAAGCGUUUAAUCGGAAGUUACUGGGACGUAAAGCGUGCGCAGGCGGCUAUGCAAAGCACAGAUGUGAAAGUCCCCGGGGCUCAACCUGGGAACUGCAUUUGUGACUGCGAUGGCUAGAGUACGGUAAGAGGGGGAUGGAAUUCCGCGUGUAGCAGUGAAAUGCGUAGAGUAUGCGGAGGAACACCGAUGGCGAAGGCAGCCCCCUGGGUCAAGACUGGACGCUCAUGCACGAAAGCGUGGGGAGCAAACAGG
rnacentral:rRNA from 1 species